rnacentral:rRNA from 1 species
AUACGGAGGGUGCAAGCGUUGUCCGGAUUUAUGGGGUUUAAAGGGUGCGUAGGCGGCUUGACAAGUCAGUGGUGAAAUCCUCCCGCUCAACGGGAGAACUGCCAUUGAAACUGUAAGGCUUGAGGACAGUCGAGGUAGGCGGAAUUUAUGGUGUAGCGGUGAAAUGCAUAGAUACCAUAAAGAACACCGAUAGCGAAGGCAGCUUACUAGACUGUAUCUGACGCUGAGGCACGAAAGCGUGGGGAGCGAACAGGAUUAGAUACCCCGGUAGUCC